UACGAAGGGGGCUAGCGUUGCUCGGAAUCACUGGGCGUAAAGCGCACGUAGGCGGAUCUUUAAGUCAGGGGUGAAAUCCCAAGGCUCAACCUUGGAAACUGCCUUUGAUACUGGGGAUCUCGAGUCCGGAAGAGGUUGGUGGAACUCCGAGUGUAGAGGUGAAAUUCGUAGAUAUUCGGAAGAACACCAGUGGCGAAGGCGGCCAACUGGUCCGGCACUGACGCUGAGGUGCGAAAGCGUGGGAGCAAACAGG
rnacentral:rRNA from 1 species